UACGUAGGGGGCAAGCGUUGUCCGGAUUUAUUGGGCGUAAAGAGCGUGUAGGCGGCUUUACAGGUCCGUUGUGAAAACUCGAGGCUCAACCUCGAGACGCCGGUGGAAACCGUAAGGCUAGAGUCCGGAAGAGGAGAGUGGAAUUCCUAGUGUAGCGGUGAAAUGCGCAGAUAUCAGGAGGAACACCCGUGGCGAAAGCGGCUCUCUGGGACGGUACUGACGCUGAGACGCGAAAGCGUGGGGAGCAAACAGG
rnacentral:rRNA from 1 species